UCAGAAGAAAGAAACGAGUAGAGAGAGAAAGAGAGACCAGCCGGAAAAGAAGGAGGUCAAAGAAGAUGAACUCGCGGUGGUUCCCGGCGAGGGCUCGCAGCAGCGCCACCGUGAGUAAUCCGAAACUGGGUUGUCAAGAGCAUGGUUACAAAGGGUGUGAGUUGAAGACUUGAGGAUAAUGCGAGCCGUAGCAAAUAUUGAAGGCAU